rnacentral:rRNA from 1 species
UCGCACCUACCGAUUGAAUGAUUCGGUGAAGCUUUCGGAUUGCGCCACUGGCCUCGGUCGGCAGCGUGAGAAGUUAUCUAAACCUCAUCAUUUAGAGGAAGGUG